AUAUCAAUAAGCGGAGGAAAAGAAACCAACAGGGAUUGCCCUAGUAACGGCGAGUGAAGCGGCAACAGCUCAAAUUUGAAAUCUGGCCCCAGGCCCGAGUUGUAAUUUGCAGAGGAUGCUUUUGGCAAAGCGCAUACCGAGUCCCCUGGAACGGGGCGCCACAGAGGGUGAGAGCCCCGUAUGGUACGACGCCGAGCCUCUGUAAAGCUCCUUCGACGAGUCGAGUAGUUUGGGAAUGCUGCUCUAAAUGGGAGGUAAAUUUCUUCUAAAGCUAAAUACCGGCCAGAGACCGAUAGCGCACAAGUAGAGUGAUCGAAAGAUGAAAAGCACUUUGAAAAGAGGGUUAAAUAGCACGUGAAAUUGUUGAAAGGGAAGCGCUCGUGACCAGACUUGCGCCGGGCGGAUCAUCCAGCGUUCUCGCUGGUGCACUCCGCCCGGCUCAGGCCAGCAUCGGUUUUCGCCGGGGGACAAAAGCUUCGGGAACGUGGCUCCCUUCGGGGAGUGUUAUAGCCCGUCGUUUAAUACCCCGGCGGGGACCGAGGACCGCGCUUCGGCAAGGAUGCUGGCGUAAUGGUCAUCAGCGACCCGUCUUGAAACACGGACCGAGGAGUCAAGCAUUAGUGCGAGUGUUUGGGUGUAAAACCCGCACGCGUAAUGAAAGUGAACGUAGGUGAGAGCUUCGGCGCAUCAUCGACCGAUCCUGAUGUUUUCGGAUGGAUUUGAGUAGGAGCAUUAACGCUUGGACCCGAAAGAUGGUGAACUAUACUUGAAUAGGGUGAAGCCAGAGGAAACUCUGGUGGAGGCUCGCAGCGGUUCUGACGUGCAAAUCGAUCGUCAAAUCUGCAGUCAUAGGGCGAAAGACU
rnacentral:rRNA from 1 species